CGCCGUGGGCUGCCUGCUGCAGGGGAGAAAAGGCUGAAGCUGCCAGAAAAAAACUGUCAGGAGUAUGUUGCCAGGGCAACAGAGUGUAAGCAGGAGCACAGCACCUUGCAGAUCACAAAGGCAAAGCUGCAGAAAGACAUUUCAGCGAGUUUCUCUCUCCCUUUUGCAAUGUAAUGACGACUUAUUUUUCAUGCACUGAUUUAAUAAUCUUAUUGAAAGAUCCUUUCCCGGUUUCUCUUAUUCUUGUCUGUCUGAGCACGGACAAAGGCAAAAAUCUGGAAUUGUCAAGCCCACUGGGCUCAGCAAACUAACAGAUGUAAUAUGUUUAGCAUUUUUAUGUAAUUACUUUUUAUUGCUAUUUUACCCUACUUCUAUUCCUCCCCAGUUAGAUGCUGCUUCCCUUCCAUUCCAAACCAAUCAGGGGAUGGAGAGGGGCUGGGGGAGAGUUGGUAAUUGACGGCAUUAAUCGGGAAUUAUUAGUGGGACGUGUUUUCAGAGGUGGGGGUUGGGUGCAGCAAGAGACCUUUUAGGAAGGGUGAAUUGAAUUAUGGGCGAUGCAAUAAUGAAGCCUGUGGGCUGUGAGCUGUAGAGGACACUCAUCCUCACAGAGCUCUGAGUGUUAUUUAUCACGGGCUCUGCUCUCUGGGUGAAAACCAGCACGUUGCCCUGCUGACAUCCUCUGGGUGAGGGGGUCUCAACUAGAUGGGCUGAAAAACAAGCUGAUUUGGGAUGAUUAAAAAUGGAAAUGUCUAGAGAUCGUUGAUGAUGGUUAGACUGGAAGCAGAAAUGCUGCAGCCAAACCCUCAGCAAGGCGCAGCGUGCCCAGUCUGUCCCUUGUAAACGUUUUGCUUCUUUCCCAAGGGCCAGGCUGAGGAGGGAGGACGUGGAAAGCAAUCGUUGCAGGCUGCAGAAUGGGAGAUGAGCAUUUGGACCUGAGACAUCCAAAUUCAGGGAGUGAACUCUUCCUGGCUGCAGGAACAAGAAUGUAUGAUUCUGUGCACAGUGAGGUGAGCAAUUAAUGCUGCAUCGAUGUGUUCGUUAACAUUUGUUUAUUAACCAAGUGUAAGGACCCUGUACUCUCACUAACAGCUUCAGCUUGGCUUUUAGAAUAUUUGCAGUGCUAAUCCUAAACAGCAGAGGAUCAGAUAAUGCUGUGGUAUAAAAAUUACUCAAUAAAAGUUUCUGCAAUAGAAUAAUGUACAUUAAAUAUAUACAAUAUAGAAAGCAAUAAGAUGCCUUCCAUAUAAUAUUAUUUAUGCAAGUAUAUAGAAUUACCCGUUUGUAGUUUUGAAUGUGUAGGUAGAUUGAGGAGUUUAGGAACAAAGACAAUUUAAUGUUGUUAUAAAAAGGAAAAAUAAAACCCCUUUUUUCUGAGCAAACAUAUCCCAGGUUUCACCUUCCUGCUGCUAAAUGAAUGAAUUGCAAUGAUGUAACUGCAUAAGGUUUUAUCUGAUUAGAAAAUUCAGCAGUGCCUGACACUGAAUUGUCCUAUUGUUCCUACUCUGGAGAUAUGCAGGAUUUUCUGCAGCCAUUGUAAUACUUGUCCCUUUUUUUUUUUUUUUCAUGGACAGGUCUGAUUACUAUUACCUAGGCUAUAUUUCUUUAUGAAGAAAAAGGCUUUUCAUAAAGCAGAAAAGGCUUAAUUAUGUACAAAACUAUUAUUACUGACUAUAAAAGCACAUGAGCAUCCUUCAAGUUGUGCUCCUAAAGCUUUUCCGUGGCAUGUGGGGUCAGGAGAGGGAAUGAGCAGAAAAGCUUGAAUGCAAGAUUCCAAUGCAGUUUGUCUUUUUUUCCCACAAAACUGUAAUCUUCAUCUUAGAAUUUUUAUUAUUUCUUUGGGUUCCCAUAACGCAACAAAUGUUUGGAAACUGAUUUAUUCAGAAAAGAGUUGUUUUAUUUCUCUGGGUGUAUCUGGAGAACCUGUGGAGUAAAUCAGUUCUGUGCUGCUACCUUGAUGUUGGCAGAAAAGCCCGGAGUGAGCGAGCAGCCCUUUGCUUUGGCAGGGCCUGAGGAAAGAUCCCCCCUGUGUCCUCAGAGAGCUGGUGACAAGGCCACGCUGACCUGAGGAAAGCCAAGUAACUUCUGGAAAUCCCAAAUCGGGUCAACAAUGCGAGAUCUGUCCACCAUUCAGAUUUAAGUGAAGUCACCUUCCACACUGCUUUCACUGAUGUUUAAGAUUUUUUUUUAUUAUUUGGUAUUGGCUGGUUUCUGUGAAAUCCAACAGCUCUGCUCCUCUAGGCUCUAGACAAGGAAAUCUAGAUAGUUUUUGUCAUCUCUGCUGCAUUCACUUCACAGAAAUGCUGCGCAUGGAUUCAGUUCAAAUAGGUAGGUAGAAGAUCUCCUAUCAGCAGUCUUGCAUGGAGCCUGCAGGAAGGCAGCUGCUGCAGCCAGACUGGCCACAGAGAGAGCCAUGGGAGCUGCAGGCUGCCAGACACUGGACACUAUUUCUGUAUGUUUGGGAGACUGCAUUUUUAGCUCCUUAAAGCCAGUGCUGGGUAAGAGACUGUUUGCUGGAGGUUCCUCUACAAUUUUUAAAUCUCCUUUUUUCUGUUCUAAUAAUAAUAAACUUUAAAAUGGAGAAAGUUAAAAGGAUUUUAUUGGUUCUUUGUAAGACUCGAUGGGGAAGCCCAAAGUUGAAGCAGGGUGAAAGAACCUGUACUUGCUGCAGGUGGAAGCAGGGUUAUUGCCAUCACAAUAUUGAAAAGGUUUGUCUUUGUACUGAUUUUCCUAUUUUCCUUAGGAGAGAUGGGAUAAAAUUUUGGUGAGAAAUUGAAGCCCAGCAGCAGCAGCUUAAAUACCCACGUAUUUCUAGCACAAAAUCUGGGCAAUUUGCUUUCCUCUUCCUGCUAGCUUGUAUCCUGCUGCCUUUUGAAAUGGAAACUCUUGUGACCCUCUAACCCUCUUGUUACUCAGAAUAAAACUCUUUUAAUUGUGUUUUGGAGGAGCAUGCGAGGAGCUCUCUCACUACUAAUCAGCUUUGCUGGUUUGGGUCUGUAUCUCCAGGACUCUGUUGGCAGAAUAGCUUGAUAUUAUUGCAGCUCUGCAUCACUGAUUUAAUGCUGAAGAACUUUAAAGGUGCAGGUCCCCCUUUGUGUCUGUGUGUUCCUGCAGAGUGACAGCAGCUCCUGGCAGCAGCUGGCACCUUGCAGGAGGGCUGGGGCAGCUCCGGCUGCUGUCUGGGUGCUGAAAGGGCAGGGCUGGCUGUGGGCACAGCAUUAGCCUUCAGACAGGUUUUGGAAGAGACCUUAGCUGUUUGUUUGCUGUGUAUCGUGGAAAUGCAGGGCAGCUUUAGUGCCUGGCACCUCUUCACACAAUUAAAAACAAAAAAUCCCAAAACUCUUCUAGCUAGAGUCUGUGUUUUGCACUGGCCAGAAACAGGUCUGGAUGGAUUUAAAUCAGACCUGUCUUAAGCUGAGAUCAUCUGCAGCUUUGGUUUGAAGGAUGGAACUGCUGCGUUCCAGUGCUAGGACUUCAGCACUGCAUAGUACUGAAAAAUACACCUUUUUAUAUUAGGAAGGUGGUAGCUUGUAAAUAUAAAAUCCUGCCCUGAGCAGACCCUCACCCAAGUUUAGCACUGUUCCUUACAUCAUUUGCCUUCCACCCUCCUCAGAAAACACAAACACUGCUUCAGCUUUUCCCAUUUCAGUGUAACUGUGUUGAGCCUGAUGUUUGCCCCAGCUGCAGCCCAUCGUACACAGAGCUCUGCUAAUGUGCCUGUCUGGCCUUCAGCAUUCCAGGAGUAGGAAGGCCACUUAACCCGAGUCCUAGCUCUGUGAUCCUGUUUGAUCAGGAACAGUGAUUCAGGAACUACCCUUGGACAAUGACUCUGCUGAGAACACUCCCAAUUGCCCUGUAAUAAACCUGCUGUCCUCCCUGAAAGCCACGAUGAGGAUAGAGAGGGUAACAGUGAUUGAAAGGUCAACAAGUGUGAGCACUGACAGAAUGAAAGAAACAAAUGAUAAUGCUGAGGCCAUGAUGCUGACCGUGCCCUGUGUCUAAAUCCUGGCGUGGUUGGAGCCCAGGUGUGCCAGCAUGAGUGCCACCCUGUCCUGGUCCCACAGGAGAGGAUGCAGGAUCUCAGCAUCCCUUUAUCCCCUCUGUGGCUCACUCCUGGGCAGAGGUCAGAAUUCACCCAGUGCCACAGUGCUGGGCUCCCUGUGAGAGAAGGAGCUCUGUGCCAAUGCCUCUUCAGCCUCCACAUCUGGGCCAAGCACACCUGGGCAGAUCCUGUCAGCACUGCUGGGAUGUGCACACCUGGCCGUGCUGGGCUUCGGUCACAGUCUGUCUCUUAAUAAGAUGCAAGGAGAAACUUUUCAGUGUAUUCUCAAUAAGGUAGGAAAAUGGAAACAUAAAACAACUGGUAUGUUCUGUCAUCUUGUCCAUUUGUUCCAAAAGGGAUGGUCCUGGCUGGCUCUGGGCCUCACCCCACUGACACAAAGCUGGGAGCAGCUGGCCAAGAAGCCAGUUGUGCAACUCCUGUUUGAUUUGUUUUAAUGAAACCUUUUAUUUGCUGGGGUGAAAAUAAAUUUUAUGGAGCUUUUGUCAUCCUACAAUUCUGCUGACCCUAUGCUCUUUUGUGCAUUAGCAUUUUGGAUUUGAGACCAUUCCAAUUCUGAUACUUUGAGUUAUGGGGCUUUUUUGGUUUGCCUUUUUUUUUUUUUUUAUGUAAACCAAUAAAGCCAUGUGUUCAUGCAACAGUCACAUGUCUCCUGUAGUUUUAAUACCUGAAGUCUGAACAAAAACUGCUGGUAGUGAGCUGCUGGUUCAGUGUCCCACGGAAACGGCCUACAUGGGCUAUGAAGGAUUUAAUUAAUGCCAUAACCUUUGGGUGUUUUUUAUUAUUAUAAUCUUUUACACAGUUCACUUAAAAGCUUGAUCUGUUUUAUUACUGCAAAGCAUGCACGAGAUGCUGUUGUACACACCAUCAUCUCUAAAUGUGAAGUGUUUGCACAAAGAGUUUCAGACAAGCUGCUGUGCAGGCUGCAGUUUGGGAAGUUUCAUGGGGAAGGAAUUCCUGCAGAGAAAAGGUCACAGUGAUCAGAGCUCCCUCCCAGCAGGAGCUGGGGAAACCUGUGCAAGGCCAGGUCAGGUAGAGCUUGGACCUGGGGAGCAGCAGCCCCUUUCAGCUGGAAGGGAGCACAUCCACGCUUUCGUUUUCACAGGCAGAGAUUGAUUUUCUCUUGUACAUUAAUAUCCGCAUCUGGGUGAUUAUAACAGAGAAAUGAGAACCCGUGUUCUUACCACAAACAUGAGAACCCAGGAUGUGAUUUCCUGACCAUGGCUGAAACCAUGUUUGGGUGGCAGUGCUCUUAAGAAGUCUUUUCUGAUUCGUUUUCUUUCCAGGGUGUCCUGCAGACCUUGCUGAUACCUGCUUAAACAGGGCAUCCACAGAUAACUCCCUGUUCUUUCUCAGACAUUCACCCCCCACAAGCAGAUCUCUUUGGGGCAGGAUAGAAGCAACUAUGUUCUGAAGUCACAGAAUCACAGCCUGGGAUAAGUUGGAAGGGGCAUCUAAAGAGGAGCAGGUUCUGAGCUCCCUCUGCCAUGGCAGGGACACCUUCCCUGUCCCAGGCUGCUCCCAGCCCUGCCCAGCCUGGCCUUGGGCACUGCCAGGGAUCCAGGGCCUGCCCACAUUCAUCACCACCUCCCUUGGUCUGCUCAAGAACUGCAGAAUUACUCUGGUAAUACUGGAUAUUUUUCUGUCAGAUGCAACUGAAGGAGGAGUGGCUGUCAGGGAAUCGUGACCACAUGGUGAGGAAACCCUUCAGGUCAGCUGGAAUGUGAUGUGUCACACACUUUCCACUCUGAUGCAUGAGUAAGGAAGAUUGGUGGCAAAGUGUGGUUAGGUGGAUCAAUAAACCACAGGAUGUCUUGGAUUCUGGAGCUGUAAGGAACAGUGGGAGGCAUUGGAAAGUGUGUAUUCACCAGCACCUAGGGACUGCUCCCGUGCCCAAAUGCAGGUAUGGAACUAAGUAGGAAAUGGUAGCAGGAAGCCUCAAACUGAACUGGCAAUGCCACAGAAAAAAGUAGGGAAAAACAGGAAAUGGGAGCCCAGCACAUCCUUAAACUUGCUGUGCAGCAAAUGUUUGUCUGUGGAGUCUUUGUCCUUUACUGUGUGGGAUGCCCUAAAGUAUGACAUUUUUUCCCACUUGCUGUGUUCCUAGAUUGUUGAUGUUCUAAUUUUGAACAGAUGUCUCUAGUAAGUAAAUGGCGAUUCAGUUUUUCAUUGGCCAAGUCCACGUUGUGGCUGUAGACAGGCGGACACACAUUGGUUCCUGUGAAGGCAGCAGAGCUCAGUCUGUGACUCAUUGCAGACGGUGGCCAGUGCUCAGGGUCAAUAACAUAGCAAUUGCAUUCCCUGAAAGUCACCAGCCAUUCCAAGGAGGGAAAACCGUGCUGGGGUGGUCUUUGGCUUUGUGAGAGGUCACUGAUUCGAGAGCAUUUACACCUGCCAGCCUUUGCUACUGCUGUCAGUGCUCAGGGGAUCACCUGAGCUGUGAUGCAGCCCCAUUCUCACCUGUGCUGUGAUGCAGCCCCUGCUCACCUGUGCUGUGAUGCAGCCCUUGGCUCACCUGUGCUCUGCUGCAGCCCCUGCUCACCUGUGCUCUGCUGCAGCCCCUGCUCACCUGUGCUGUGAUGCAGCCUUCUGCUCACCUGGGCCACAGGACUCUUGUUCUCUGCCUCAGCAAAGCACCUCUGGUGUUAAGUUUUCCCUUCAUUUGCUAAAUUAAUUUUCUAUUAACUAUAAAUAGACAAAAAGGUUUUAUUUGUGUAUGUUUUGUUGGGGUUUAAAAAAAAAAAUUGAUCCAUCUUUCCUUGCUCUUUCAAAUUAGGAAAUGCAGUCAUUUUCCCUAGUGCUUUUCAUACACACUUACUUUGUUGACUGUUUUGUUUAUUGGAUUUGUUAUUUAAAAUCUGUUUCCUUAUGGCUCUCUCUUUAAUUUUCUCUUCUUUAUCAGGGCUGCAUGAAGGUGAGCUGAGUCCCAAAGCUAUUCUAUCCUAAAUUCUGGUAUUUUAUAUAUAUAAAACUUCAGGGCUGAUGGCACCUAUACCUGGGAUUAUUUAUGGGUUUUCAUAAAAAAGAAAGAGGAAAAUACAGAAUUGCAUGGCUCCUCUUUUCCUUCCCCACUUCCCAACCCCCUCCCCACAGAGGAGUUUAAUGUUAAAUGAUAAAUGUGGAAAUUAGAGACCGUCGAGAAAAUCCAAUUUGGUGAGGAGUUUUAAAAAUCCCAUAAUAAACGCCGAGUGAAAUGUAUGAUUUAAUGCGGGGCGCCAAUGGCUGCUAUUAUGUGCUAUUAGCAAAUCGGGGCUGAGAGUGAAUCUUUAUCACGGCCGGGCGGGGCCGCCCCUGCCGCCGCUAUUGAUUUGUAGCCGCUUGUCAUAAUGACACGGGGAAGCAAUGAAUGGAAGAUGUGCUUUUGAUAGGAUUGAAGGGCUGCAAAGGGGGGAGAAAAAAUUCAGCAAGUUUUCUAUCUCUCCUGCCUGAUUAGAUUUUUUUCUUCUUUUAAGAGCUUUCACAUUCCAAUAAAAAUGCUAAAUCAGCUCUGAAGCAGAAUUGUUAGGGAGUAAAUAGCCAGUCACAUUUAAAGGAGGAAAAGAUCUGACUUUACAGCUCUGGCUUCACAGCAGCCAUGAGUCUAAAGAAUAUUUCUGGCUCCACAGAAAUUGCAGUAGUGGGCGGCGUGAGGGUGGCUGGGACGUGGUCAGAGGACUGCAGGCAGUAGGCAUCAGCAUCUGUGGGAUGCACUUUGUCAGGAUGCCAGCAAUUAAAUCCCCGGUGCUGUGUGUUUAAGGAGAGGAGGGUGUGUUUCGAGACCUCUGAAACAAAAGUGACUGCAAUGAAAAAAAGCUAUAAGCCUUUGCCGUAUAGGAUCAAAUAAUAAAGGUCUCCUCUGCAUCUGGAAAGAAGAUUUUUGUCACUUUAAUUCCAGGCAUUGGUUGUCAGAAAGCCGAUGCAAUGGCUGUGACUGUGCUGGGCUUUCCUGCCGGUCACUCGGGGAGCCACGGGCAGGCUCUGCCCAGCACAGCCCCGUGCACACAGGGAAUGGGAAAGGCUCUGAGGGCGGCUCAGCCUGUGCCUCUGCCUUUCUCAUUCGUAUAUCCACGCGCUUUUAACUUCCUCUCUUCCAAACAUUUUGCCUGCCCUGGGAAGGUGGAAUUUGCCUACACUCCACUUUGAGCUCCUUUGCAUCAAAGUCUGCACAUCUUCUCUCAUUACUACUAUGAUUAUGAUUGUUCUUGUUAUUGUUAUUAUUAUUAUUACUCUGGUUGGCCAGGCUGAAGAGCUGUGGGCUGAGCAAAGUUUGGAACUCUGUUAUUUGGGUUCUCCCUUUAGGCCUGGACAGCCUCAGCUGCUCUUACAGAAACCCUCAAAGAGCAGCUGAGAGAAUGUGGUUUCCAGGGCUCACUCUCAGAGUAUGAAAUAGCAGAUUAGAAAUCAAUGCAAAGAGUCCAAGUGCUCACUUCAUCACUCAGGAGAAAGAAAUACAGUGUUCCUGGUCUGAGCUGUGUGCUCAUUAAAAUCCCAUCCUUUAAAACACCCUUUGAAUUAAACAGUGCUCAGCGCAGAUGGGUGGAUCUCAUGCCAGAGGCAGGCUGGGGGCAUGUCUGACAUGGUGAGACCUGGCCAGGCUCUCCAGGUGUGCAGCUCGUGUCCUGCUGCAGCUGGCUGCACAUCUGCUGCAGAAAUUCAGGGCAAGCCCUUGAGGUGUCAAAUGCUGCUUUUUGUGGCACACGAAACAGAGAGGAUUAGCACCUGACCUGUUCCUUCUCAAGAGCACUGACUAGGAAUCACACAGGGUUGGGCUCUUUAGGAACCCAUCUCACCCCUCAAGCCAUUCCAGCACACUCAUACAAAAAAAAAUGGAUUAUUUCUACAGGAAUGAAUGAACAAUGAAACAGUGGGAGCCCUUUGCUAGGGGAAAGUGCUAUUUUGGGCCAGUCUGGUGUGGUGUUUGAUCAGAAGCUAGCAACUUGAUUCUCUACACUUAUUUAUGAAGGUAAAUGUAGGCUGGGAAUCAGCUUUGGGAGGCUUUUGGUGCAAAUGUGAUACCACUUCUAGAAUGGCUGCUCAUACUUCUGAACAGAGGAGUCAGCAGAAGUACAGCUCUAGUCUGUCCUGUCUUUUGGGUCCUAGGUACAAAUUUUAUGGUAACAGCAGGGGAGGCUGAUAUAACAGCUUUAAAAUGUGAAGAUGCUCCUGCCAAGGGAAAAGGAAUGUUUUGUUUCCUGCGUUUAAGACUUAGUGGCUCAAACAGCCACUAGGUUAGAUGAGCAGCCUGGAGCCCCGAGUCUGUGGGCUGCCUGGGUUCCUCUGAAAGCACUCUGGUCCAUCUGUCUGUAAGUGCUCAGUGCAACUGCUGAUGCUGCAUCCCCUGUUUUCUGGGAGCUCAGAGACAGGAAAAGGCCAGCCUCGGUCCCU